rnacentral:rRNA from 1 species
UGGGGAAUUUUGGACAAUGGGCGCAAGCCUGAUCCAGCCAUGCCGCGUGUCUGAAGAAGGCCUUCGGGUUGUAAAGGACUUUUGUCAGGGAGGAAAAGGAUAGGGUUAAUACCCCUGUCUGAUGACGGUACCUGAAGAAUAAGCACCGGCUAACUACGUGCCAGCAGCCGCGGUAAUACGUAGGGUGCGAGCGUUAAUCGGAAUUACUGGGCGUAAAGCGGGCGCAGACGGUUACUUAAGCAGGAUGUGAAAUCCCCGGGCUCAACCUGGGAACUGCGUUCUGAACUGGGUGACUAGAGUGUGUCAGAGGGAGGUAGAAUUCCACGUGUAGCAGUGAAAUGCGUAGAGAUGUGGAGGAAUACCGAUGGCGAAGGCAGCCUCCUGGGAUAACACUGACGUUCAUGCCCGAAAGCGUGGGUAGCAAACAGGAUUAGAUACCCUGGUAGUCCACGCCCUAAACGAUGUCGAUUAGCUGUUGGGCAGCUUGACUGCUUAGUAGCGAAGCUAACGCGUGAAAUCGACCGCCUGGGGAGUACGGUCGCAAGAUUA